ensembl:snRNA U1 U1 spliceosomal RNA
AUUCUUAUCCUGUACAGGAGAUAACAUUAUCAUGAAAGUGGUGAUCACAGGAAGAGGCACAUCUAUUGCGCUCCAGCUGUGCUGACCCUUCGGUUUCCCCAAAUUCUGGAAACUCUCGACUGCAUAAUCUGUGGUAGGGAGACUGCAUUCAUGCUCUUCCCUG